rnacentral:rRNA from 1 species
UACGUAGGGUGCAAGCGUUGUCCGGAAUUAUUGGGCGUAAAGAGCUCGUAGGCGGUUUGUCGCGUCUGCUGUGAAAACUGGAGGCUCAACCUCCAGCCUGCAGUGGGUACGGGCAGACUAGAGUGCGGUAGGGGAGAUUGGAAUUCCUGGUGUAGCGGUGGAAUGCGCAGAUAUCAGGAGGAACACCGAUGGCGAAGGCAGAUCUCUGGGCCGAUACUGACGCUGAGGAGCGAAAGCGUGGGGAGCGAACAGG